CAGUCGCCGCGGGAAUACGAAGGGUGCAAGCGUUACUCGGAAUUACUGGGCGUAAAGCGUGCGUAGGCGGCUAAUUGAGUCGGAUGUGAAAUCCCCGAGCUUAACUUGGGAAUUGCAUUCGAUACUGGUUAGCUAGAGUGUGGGAGAGGAUGGUAGAAUUCCAGGUGUAGCGGUGAAAUGCGUAGAGAUCUGGAGGAAUACCGAUGGCGAAGGCAGCCAUCUGGCCUAACACUGACGCUGAGGUACGAAAGCAUGGGGAGCAAACAGGAUUAGAUACCCCUGUAGUCCCUGUCUCUUAUAC
rnacentral:rRNA from 1 species